CUCCAGUCCAGAACAAAAGUCCGUUGUGAGUCUUCCGGUUCCUCUAGCUGCUACACCAAACUACUGCUAAGAUAAACAAUAUGAAACCCAUCACCAAAAAUCCCACCAGCUCUCACAUAGAGUAUAGCAAGACGUACAAGCGAGCCUCCCACGGAACAUACAUCCGUCUACCGGAAGGAGAUGGUAGUUAAUGAGAGCGAGCCCUUCCGCCUCCGGACAUCAAACAGGGCGUCUUUAAAGCGGUUGCCCAAUCAGCGGGACGCAGCACGGCCCCCAGGGGAACAGAAGAAACUGCAGCAGCAUAACCACAUAUAACAGCAUAACUACAGUUCACUUCACUCUGCAUAGGGCUUAAACUGGUAAAGUGAAAUCCCCGCCAUUUCUAUCUAUACACUGUAUAUAAUAUACAACCUGUAAACCGUAAUCCAGCAAUGAUGGUUGGCGUUCAAUUUGCGACACAUGAUGAACGCUGUAACAAAUUUAAGGAAUGAGAAGGGGGCGGUGACCGGCGAACAUUCAACAACUUUUAAAAAACGAAAACAAAAACAAACGAAACUAAAAUGCCUGCAGCUCCCGCACAGUCGACUGCCGGCCAGACAAACAUAAAACAUAACAUAAAAUCCAGGCCUGGUCCUCUAUCCGGUCGCUCGUCCUUUUAUGCUUCCAAUCUCCUCCAAAAAAAUGCGAUACUCAUGCAACGCGCAGCUGACACUAAUAAUAAUAACUCGCUCACGUCCCGCCUUGCUCGUUACAAACGCUUUUGACCAAUCACAGCAGACUACUCCACCUGACCAAUCACAUGACACUACACUGUAAAAACAUGUGAAAUCUAAUAAGGAAUUCACUGUGUUCAUGCACUGGAAAUAACUGUAUUAGGGGUCACAGUGAAUUACUGUUGUUUCAAUGAGAAAUUACAAUACUGGUCAAAAUAUUGUGGAAAUCACAUAAAAGAGGAAAUGCUGUACAAAGUCAUGGUAAUCAGUGCUGUCCUGUAGAAAGUCACAACAAACAAGUACUAUGUGAAAUUUACAGUAAUUCCCUGUGUUCAUGCACUGUAAAUAACGUAUUGGGGGUCACGAGCAUUAAAGUGUAAAAUGUCUACCUAUGUAAAAUGUUUAGGAUAAAGCAAUGUAAGUCGCUUUGGAUAAAAGAAUGUGGAAUUGAGAAACUUUUGUGUGAUAUUCAGGUCACCUCUGAAAUGGGACUUAAUCCAAAACAAAGUAUGAUCAUUAUUUAAAGGAUAAAAAUGUCUUGCACAAGCUUUUAAUAGCUUUUUUUCUUUUGAGUCUAGCAGAACUAGACAUUAAACAUUGAACUGUUUUAUAAACUUCUGUGAAUUGAUAGCACCUUUUGACGUGACCAAGUUUUCCGACCACAUAUUGCGUAGUAGCGGUAAGUUUCUUUGUUUUCUUUGGACUAAUCAUUGUCACUUCAUAACAGAAACAAAACAGUAGUAAGUCGUUGACAGUGCUGGUAGAAGUUUUAUCGUUAGGAUGUCAUCAUGGUUUAUACGUAUAAAGUUUCUGCGUUCAAUGCAGCUUCGAUUUCUGCAAUUAUUUGGCAUAUUAAAAUUCACAGAAAUCUUGCAAGCAUCAGAUUUCAGUGUGGGCAUGCAGAAUGUCCUGUUGCAUUUCUAACAGGUUCCUUGUCAGGAUUAAUCCAGAGUACAGCAAGUCUAGUGCCAAGGUUCAGAGAAGCCAGAAAACUGGAACGUCAUUACACCGAAAGAGGUCUUACAAUAACCCACGUUUCAUUUCCUUCAUCAGGGACUUCACAGAGUUUGACUGGCAAAAUAACUAGAUUAAGGUCAAUGUUUAUUUUAUCUAAAUAUUUUUUAAAUGUAUAUAUUAUAAUUUACCAUUUAUUUUUCAGAAAUCUUCAUGUGGAACAACCCGUUCAGCGGUGAAUUAUUAUUAUGUUUCUUUAUUAUAUUUUAGCGUUUUGUUGUUUGUUUAGGAAAUGUUUUCAAAGUGUGUUUUACGUUAAAAUAGAGACAAUGUUUUUGUCAUACAGUGUGAUCUACUUGUUUAAGUCCAACCAUAAAGUGCUGGAACUCCAUUGAAUUUGUACCGUGUUUUUUUUUUAAUGGAAUUAUUCUUACAGUCAGAAACUUUAGGUCAUAAAGAUACCAAACCAGAAUAAGUGAUCUGUGAUUCAUUUCGGUUUUGGCUGUAGGUUCAUCAUCCUAAGAAUUGUAGGCUAGCGGAUAGGAGGGGAGUAGACUUAUGUAUCGAGGAACGAAUCAUUUGAGAUUCAGUCAAAAAGUAAGCUCUGUGUGCACCUUAUCGGCCUUCUCCAGUGUAAGAACAACACCAUUGCUGCCGUUACCAAUGGGAGUGCUCUCGGUCUUGUCAUACACUGAGCAUUCCUUUUCAUUAUUCUUAUAAAGACUGACCGCCAUUUUUUU